AGAGUUUGAUCCUGGCUCAGGAUGAACGCUGGCGGCGUGCUUAACACAUGCAAGUCGAACGGGAUCCAUCAAGCUUGCUUGGUGGUGAGAGUGGCGAACGGGUGAGUAAUGCGUGACCGACCUGCCCCAUACACCGGAAUAGCUCCUGGAAACGGGUGGUAAUGCCGGAUGUUCCAGUUGAUCGCAUGGUCUUCUGGGAAAGCUUUCGCGGUAUGGGAUGGGGUCGCGUCCUAUCAGCUUGACGGCGGGGUAACGGCCCACCGUGGCUUCGACGGGUAGCCGGCCUGAGAGGGCGACCGGCCACAUUGGGACUGAGAUACGGCCCAGACUCCUACGGGAGGCAGCAGUGGGGAAUAUUGCACAAUGGGCGCAAGCCUGAUGCAGCGACGCCGCGUGAGGGAUGGAGGCCUUCGGGUUGUAAACCUCUUUUAUCGGGGAGCAAGCGUGAGUGAGUUUACCCGUUGAAUAAGCACCGGCUAACUACGUGCCAGCAGCCGCGGUAAUACGUAGGGUGCAAGCGUUAUCCGGAAUUAUUGGGCGUAAAGGG
rnacentral:rRNA from 1 species